CCUACGGGAGGCAGCAGUGGGGAAUAUUGCACAAUGGGCGCAAGCCUGAUGCAGCGACGCCGCGUGAGGGAUGACGGCCUUCGGGUUGUAAACCUCUUUCAGCAGGGACGAAGCGCAAGUGACGGUACCUGCAGAAGAAGCACCGGCCAACUACGUGCCAGCAGCCGCGGUAAUACGUAGGGUGCAAGCGUUGUCCGGAAUUACUGGGCGUAAAGAGCUCGUAGGCGGUUUGUCGCGUCGUCUGUGAAAACCAGCAGCUCAACUGUUGGCUUGCAGGCGAUACGGGCAGACUUGAGUAUUUCAGGGGAGACUGGAAUUCCUGGUGUAGCGGUGAAAUGCGCAGAUAUCAGGAGGAACACCGGUGGCGAAGGCGGGUCUCUGGGAAAUAACUGACGCUGAGGAGCGAAAGCGUGGGUAGCGAACAGGAUUAGAUACCCUGGUAGUCCACGCCGUAAACGGUGGGCGCUAGGUGUGGGUUUCCUUCCACGGGAUCCGUGCCGUAGCUAACGCAUUAAGCGCCCCGCCUGGGGAGUACGGCCGCAAGGCUAAAACUCAAAAUGAAUUGACGG
rnacentral:rRNA from 1 species